rnacentral:misc_RNA from 1 species
ACUCUUCAACCCACCAGUUUCUUGUAAACUGAGUUGGUGUUUGGUUUCUGAACGUUGCUGUUCUUUGAACUCAGCUCGUUUAAAAUUUAUUAGCAUCUCAAUUUCGAAACUUGGAUUGACUCAGCGUAAUAGACUAUUCGCUGAGGACACCUUUCAGGUGGCCAUGUUAGAUAACGAUUGAUGCUUAUAGCACUCUAUCUAGUCAUUUUAAG